ACGCUGGCGGCGUGCCUAAUACAUGCAAGUCGAGCGAAGUUUUUCUGGUGCUUGCACUAGAAAAACUUAGCGGCGAACGGGUGAGUAACACGUAAAGAACCUGCCUCAUAGACUGGGACAACUAUUGGAAACGAUAGCUAAUACCGGAUAAUAGCAUUAACUGCAUGGUUGAUGUUUGAAAGUUGGUUUUGCUAACACUAUGAGAUGGCUUUGCGGUGCAUUAGCUAGUUGGUGGGGUAAAGGCCUACCAAGGCGACGAUGCAUAGCCGACCUGAGAGGGUGAUCGGCCACACUGGGACUGAGACACGGCCCAGACUCCUACGGGAGGCAGCAGUAGGGAAUCUUCCGCAAUGGGCGAAAGCCUGACGGAGCAACGCCGCGUGAGUGAAGAAGGAUUUCGGUUCGUAAAGCUCUGUUGUUAGGGAAGAAUGAUUGUGUAGUAACUAUACACAGUAGAGACGGUACCUAACCAGAAAGCCACGGCUAACUACGUGCCAGCAGCCGCGGUAAUACGUAGGUGGCAAGCGUUGUCCGGAAUUAUUGGGCGUAAAGCGCGCGCAGGUGGUUUAAUAAGUCUGAUGUGAAAGCCCACGGCUCAACCGUGGAGGGUCAUUGGAAACUGUUAAACUUGAGUGCAGGAGAGAAAAGUGGAAUUCCUAGUGUAGCGGUGAAAUGCGUAGAGAUUAGGAGGAACACCAGUGGCGAAGGCGGCUUUUUGGCCUGUAACUGACACUGAGGCGCGAAAGCGUGGGGAGUAAACAGGAUUAGAUACCCUGGUAGUCCACGCCGUAAACGAUGAGUGCUAAGUGUUGGUCUCAUAAGAGAUCAGUGCUGCAGCUAACGCAUUAAGCACUCCGCCUGGGGAGUACGACCGCAAGGUUGAAACUCAAAGGAAUUGACGGGGACCCGC
rnacentral:rRNA from 1 species